CUAUACAUGCAGUCGAGCGGACAGAAGGGAGCUUGCUCCCGGAUGUUAGCGGCGGACGGGUGAGUAACACGUGGGUAACCUGCCUGUAAGACUGGGAUAACUCCGGGAAACCGGAGCUAAUACCGGAUAGUUCCUUGAACCGCAUGGUUCAAGGAUGAAAGACGGUUUCGGCUGUCACUUACAGAUGGACCCGCGGCGCAUUAGCUAGUUGGUGGGGUAAUGGCUCACCAAGGCGACGAUGCGUAGCCGACCUGAGAGGGUGAUCGGCCACACUGGGACUGAGACACGGCCCAGACUCCUACGGGAGGCAGCAGUAGGGAAUCUUCCGCAAUGGACGAAAGUCUGACGGAGCAACGCCGCGUGAGUGAUGAAGGUUUUCGGAUCGUAAAGCUCUGUUGUUAGGGAAGAACAAGUGCGAGAGUAACUGCUCGCACCUUGACGGUACCUAACCAGAAAGCCACGGCUAACUACGUGCCAGCAGCCGCGGUAAUACGUAGGUGGCAAGCGUUGUCCGGAAUUAUUGGGCGUAAAGGGCUCGCAGGCGGUUUCUUAAGUCUGAUGUGAAAGCCCCCGGCUCAACCGGGGAGGGUCAUUGGAAACUGGGAAACUUGAGUGCAGAAGAGGAGAGUGGAAUUCCACGUGUAGCGGUGAAAUGCGUAGAGAUGUGGAGGAACACCAGUGGCGAAGG
rnacentral:rRNA from 1 species